ensembl:lncRNA
CCCAGCCCCUUCCCGGCCAGGCUCCGCCCUCCACCCCGCCCCACGCCAGCCCGUCACUCAGCAGUCACUCGGUCACUUGGGGAAAAGCGGGCGCCAAGGGCAGAGUGGGCUGGGUUGCCGCCAGUUGCCCUGUCCCAGUGUCCCCCGCCCCCGACUGUCCCAGCCCACGCCCUGAACCCUCCGGAUGACGCUCGCCCAGCUCUUGGCGGCCAUUGGGACCCCUACUCCACUUCUCUGCACAUCUCGCGAGCCUCGGAUGGCGCCCGAGAGCCCAGGACCGGCCACGCGCGGACCUGCGCCGCCACCUGGUGGCCGCCGGCGCAAACGGCACCCGUAAGGGCGGGCCCCUGGCGCGAGCCGCCCCUUCGUUCGACCCCGCAGGCGCGCGGGCUCUCGACUUCGCCCAGUGGGGGCCGCGGGUCUCGCGCUGAGGAUGCUCAGAAGAACAUUCGCACGACUGGAGCCAGGGAGAUGCAGAUGCAGCACCAAGUCCCAGAGGGAACACUAUGGGCCAAACGGCAGUGUGCAUGGCAGGAUGGUGUACAUGGCUCAACCCAAGGCCUCUCAGGAAUACGUCAAAAAGCCCCAAGAGAAGUUUACAGCAAUCUGAAGUAAAUGAAAAUGAAAACACAACUUACAAAAUUCAUGGAAUGCCAAGGAAACAGUGCCAAGAGGGAAAUCUGUAGCAUUAGAUGCACACGGUGUAAGUGAAAAGACCUGAAUUAGUAAUCUGGAUGUCUACUUUUGGAAACUACAGAAAAGUAAAGCAAUGAAAGUACUAAAGCAAGCAGAAGAAAUAACAAAAACUAGGGGAAAAUCAAUAAAACUAAAACCUUGUUCUUUGAAAAAACUUUUUCAAUGAAUUGAUAAACCACUGGCCAGGCUUAUCACAAACGGAAAGCAGACAUUACUCAGUAAGAGGAGCCCUCGCUGCUUACCCCAAGGGCAUGAAAGGGAUGAUAAAAGAAUAUUACGAACAAUUACAGGUCCACACAUUUGAUAACUUACAUGAAACGGACUGAUUUAUUGAAAGACACAAACUAUCCAACUCAUACAAGGAGAAACAAACUGACCAAGCCUAUAUCUAAUUAGAUUUAAAUAAUUAAUUAAUUUUCCAUGUUGAACCUGGGGCCUUGCACAUGCUAGGCAAGCACUGUACCACUGAGCUACACCACCAGCGCUCCACUGGUAAAUUCUACCAAACACUUAAGGAAUAUACCAAUUCUCUAUAAUUUCUUCCAGAAAAUAGCAAAGAGAACACUUUUUAAUUCAUUCAGAGGCAGUAUUCCCCUGAUAAAACCAAAACCAGAUAAAGACACAAGAAAAAAAAGGGGAAACUACAGACCAAUAUCUCUCAUGAAUGUAGAUGCAAAACUCCUCAACAAAAUAUUAGCAAAUCAAUUAUAGCAGUGUAUAAGAAUUCUACAUCACAGCCAAGUGAGGUUUAUUCCAGGGAUAUAAGGCUGGUUCAGCAUUGGAAAGCUAUUAAUGUAAUGUCGUCCAUCUCAUCAUCAACAGGUUAAGAAUGAAAAAACCACAUAAACUUAUCAUUUGUUGCAGGAGAAACAUUUGACAAAAUCCAAUACCCAUUCGUGAUUAAAACUCAAAACCUGGGAAUGAAGGAGAAUUUCCUUAACUUGAUAAAGAUCAUCAAAAAUGCUCAGCUAACAUCAGACAAUGGGGAGAGACUAGAUAUCUUCCUCCGCAAUCAGGAGCAAGACACUCUUCUCUCCCUACUCCUCCUCAGUAUUGUACUAGAAAUCCAGGCUAACAAAAUAAGACAAGAAGAAUAAAAUAUGUGCAAUUGGGAAGAAAAAAAUAGAAUUGUCUUAUUUGUAGAUGGCGUGACUAUGUAGGAAACCCCAAAGAAUUAACAAUAAAAGUCCUGGAACUAAUCGAGAAUUAUGGCAACAGUCCAGGAUACACGGUUAAUUUAUGAUAGUCACUUGCUUCCUAUUUACUAGGAAUAGACAAGGGUAAAUUAACAUUUAAUACACAAUACCACUUACAUUAGCACCACAAGAAAUGAAAUACUUAGGUAUAAAUCUACAAAUAUGUACAGGAUCUACAUGAGAACAACUACAAACCUCUGAUGAAAUAAAUCAAAGAUAUAAAUAAGUGGAGAGAUAGUCCAUUUUUAUCAGUAGGAACACAAUAUUGUCACAAUAUCAGUUCUCCCCAACUUGAUCUGUAGAUUCAAUACAGUCCCAGUCAAAAUCUAGCAAAUUACUUGUGGAUAUUGACAAACUGAUUCCAAAGUACAUGAGAAAAAUCAAACGCCCAGAAUACCCAGUUGCUGCAGCCGUAGCAACUCUGGCGCUGGCAGAGGACAGACCAACAGGCCAAGAGAACAGGACCAAGAACCCAAAACCAACCCAUGCAAGCACCACCAACUGCCUUUGACAAAGGAGCACAGGUAAUGUCACGGAGGAAGACUGUAUUUUUUUUUUAAUUUAAAUUGUGGUGUAACAAUUGGAUGUCCAUAUGUGAAAAUAUUAAUCUACACAUAAACUUUAUGCCUUUCACGAAAAGUAAUUCAAAAAUUGACCACAGACCUAAAUGUAAAAUGAAAAACUAUAAAUUUCUAUAAGAUAACAUUGGAGAGAUCUAGGUGAGCUUAGAUUUGGUGUCUAUUGAUUUUUGUGGUGCUGGGCAUCGGGCCCAGGGCCUAGUGCAUGCUAAACACACACUCUACCACUGAAGUACACCCCCAGCUCUGGCAAUAAUUUUUUGCAUACAAUAUGAUAAAUACAGCCCCUGAAAGAAAAAGUCAAUAAAUUGGACUUUAUUAAAAUUUUAAAAUUCAGUUUUGCAAAGCACACUAUUAAGGCAAUGAAAAAAUAAGCCACAAACUGGGGGAAAAUAUUUACAAAACACAUAUAAGAGAGUUUUUUUAUUUGUUGUUUUGUUUUUUGAGACAAGGUGUCACUAUGUAGUUCAGGAUGACCUUGAACUUACUGUGUACACCAGGCUGGCCUCAAACUUGUGGCAUCCUCCUGUCUCAGCCUCCCAAGUGUUGGGAUUACAGUUGUGUGCCACCAUGCCUGGCUGAAAGGAUUAUAUCCAGAAUAUACAAGCUCAUAAAACUCAACAAUAAGCGAACUAUCUGCCUGUAAUCCCAGGAAUUUAGGAGGCUGAAGCAAGAGGAUUCCAGCUUAAGUCUGGCCUGGGCAACUUAGUGACUCAGUGAGACCUUGUCUCAAAAAAUUAACGAAGGUAAAGGUACAAGUUCCCAGUGAUGAAUGUAACUAUUGCAUACCUAAAAUGUACCAAUAAACUUAAUGGGAAAAAAAUUGAGGAAGGUCUGGGGAUGCAACCCAGUGCAAAGGUUCUAGGCUCAAUCCCUAGUACAGCAAAAUAAGAAAAAUAACCUAAUUUUUUCCCCAUUAAGUUUAUUGGUUCAUUUUAGGUAUACAGUACAGUUACAUUCAUCAUUGGGCUCUUGUACCUGUACAUGAUGUAUCUUGGUUCUUAUUUUUCCCCAUUCCCAGCCCUCCCUUCACCCCCUCCAUCCCUCCUUAUUUGCAAUGACUGUUUCCAUGUUUUUCCUUUUCUCAUAUUUUUUCUUUUCCCUUCUUUCCUUUCCCCUACCCCUUGCACUUCCCCUGCUCCUUUAGACCUUUUCUUCCUAUUUCACAAUAUCAAUUAUACAUCUUGAUCCUUAUUUACACUUUUAGUUUUUUACACCAGAGAAACUAUUCAGUGUUUACACACGUGUGUCCUAUGUAUUUAAAAAUAACCUAAUUUUAAUAUGAGCCAAAGGGUUAGGUUAAACAGACACCUCAACAGAAAAGUCAUACAGAGGGCAUACAUGAGUGUAUGAAAACCUGCCCCAUCAUGUACCAUUAGGGAAUUGCAAAUUGAAACAACAAGACACCAAUCGCAUCUACAAAAAUGGCUACAAUCCAAAAACUGACAGCACCCACUACUUGUGAGGAUGAAGAGCAACAGAAGCUCACCUUCCUUGAUGGAGGAAGUACAAGUCAGUGCACUUUGGGAAAACACCCACAGAGAGAGACAGACACCACAAUGAGUAAACAUUAAUGCAUGAAAACGUUAACCAAGAGUUUAGGGGGUAUGGGAUCCCAGGGGAGAAUGCACAUGUGACAAGAGAACGUAACUGUAACACAAGUGUAUGAAGCCAGCCUACUGGAGGGGAGAAGACAUAGGCUGACCUGAGCUGGCUGACUUCGGAAAUGAGUGGCACCUGAAGCCAAAGGAUAAGGGAGUCGCAAGAGCUCUGUGCUGUGGUUGGUGGAGGUGCCUCCCCCAGACAGGCUGGAGGAGUAGGUAGUAAAUGGAGAGCAGGUGGUGAGUUAGACCCUUGCUGUGGGAGAGAAAGUUUGUGAACUGAGGCAGAAGGACAGGCACAUGCAUGGGCUAAGGAUGAGCACUAGAGACAUCAAGAACUGGCAUUUAACGUACAUGGGAUCCCAGGAGCUGCAUGAACAGAAGCUGCACGCACACAUAUCUGUGUGUUUUCUGCUGAACAGGCGUGAAGAAGACACCAGCCCAGUGGCAGUAAGCCUUCCCAAACCCAGAUUGUGGCUUCUAACCCAUUCUCCACUCCCUGGGGAGCUGCCAAUUGCAGGACUGGGGCAGGAAAUGUACAAAAUGAGCAUUUAGCAUCUUGUAGUGCCAGGAAGUAAAAAGGUGCUUGGGAAAAUGAAACAAAACAAUAACAAAACACACAAUUGUGUAUGAGCAACUAGAGAGCUCCCAGUGGCCAAAGUUGUAACAUUUGAGCAACAAAAUAAAGUACCAAUACAUUAUAA